UACGGAGGGGGCUAGCGUUGUUCGGAAUUACUGGGCGUAAAGCGCACGUAGGCGGCUUUGUAAGUUAGAGGUGAAAGCCCGGGGCUCAACUCCGGAAUUGCCUUUAAGACUGCAUCGCUUGAAUUGUGGAGAGGUAAGUGGAAUUCCGAGUGUAGAGGUGAAAUUCGUAGAUAUUCGGAAGAACACCAGUGGCGAAGGCGGCUUACUGGUCCGGAACUGACGCUGAGGUGCGAAAGCGUGGGGAGCAAACAGG
rnacentral:rRNA from 1 species